GGUUGGUAGUAAAUUUAAUGCAUUAUUCUUUCUAAUUUUCUAUUUCCAAUUUAACAUCCUGGUUAGUAUUCACACAGGAUAUCCAAUAGAAAUAGAAAUGAUUGCAAAGCUAGAAAAUAAUAAAACAUAUUUAAGUUUUCUGGUAUCUGUAUAUUCUUUCAUAAUAUUGGGAUAACAAAAUUUCCCUCUAUGACGUGUUGGUGUUACAUAAAUGAAAAAAAUGAUUUUUUGGAUUUUUUUUCUAUCUCUUAUGUGCUACAACUUCUCUCCUGAUACACAAUAGAGCAAUUAUCUGACUGCGAGACAUAACCGAAUUUUGACUUUUGUUGAUAUUUCUAUUUACAUUCUUUUAUCUAUUACUCUAAAUUUAGUCAAUUGUCUAUAUAUACACAUAUAUAAACGUCUAUAUUUUAUAUAUACACAUAUAUAAACCUCUAUAUUUUAUAUAUACACAUAUAUAAACCUCUAUAUUUUAUAUAUACACAUAUAUAAACCUCUAUAUUUUAUAUAUACACAUAAAUAAACCUCUAUAUUUUAUAUAUACACGUAUAUAAACCUCUAUAUUUUAUAUAUACACGUAUAUAAACCUCUAUAUUUUAUAUAUACACGUAUAUAAAACUCUAUAUUUUAUAUAUACAUAUAUAAAACUCUAUAUUUUAUAUAUACAUAUAUAAACUCUAUAUUUUAUAUAUAUACAUAUAUAAACUCUAUAUUUUAUAUAUAUACACAUAUAAACUCUAUAUUUUAUAUAUAUACACAUAUAAACUCUAUAUUUUAUAUAUAUACACAUAUAAACUCUAUAUUUUAUAUAUAUACACAUAUAAACUCUAUAUUUUAUAUAUAUACACAUAUAAACUCUAUAUUUUAUAUAUAUACACAUAUAAACUCUAUAUUUUAUAUAUAUACACAUAUAAACUCUAUAUUUUAUAUAUAUACAUAUAUAUAUAACCGUGUUUAUAUAUAUAUAGUGCAUCUAAGCUUUUCAUACAGUUUUAGAGGGGUAUUUUAAAAUAUUAAAUGAUUUUUAAUUUGAAUUUGAAGACUAUAAAUUGUCUUUCACACAUUUUCUUUUACAUUUCCUUCUUGUUGAGCUAAGCUGUUAGAUAUUGGUUUUUCUCAUAUAAAUUUUAAUUACAAUAAUAAUUACAUUUUUCAAAAACUGACUGGUUUUACAAUAUAAUAUUCCCAAGUAGUUAUACAUUCAUUCUUACAUAUUUAACUAUUUUUUUCUGACUAAGUUACAUAUUUAACUACUUUUUUCUGACUAAGAAUAUUACUUUUUUUCUGCUUAAAAAUUUUUUUUAUUAAGAUUAUAUAAUCUAAAAAAGACUUGAAAGUUCCAAUGCAGGAGCAGAUACAGGAAUCAUUCAAUAAAAUUGGGAUUGACAACAGGUAUAAGUUUAAAAGAGGUGUACUUGAAUUCAGAUCUUAAGCCAGGACCCGAAAUUAAAAUUAAACUGUAUUUGUUGAGCAAUUCUAAGACACAUAAACCAUAGGAAUUAGGAUAAAACCAUUCAGAAAGACUACUAGUUAAUUCAAUUGAUUUUCUGUUAAUAGAAAAUGCUAAUUAAUAAGAAUUUAUUUGUAAGAUCAGGCUUGAAAGUGAAUAUGUACUUACCCAAAAUUUCACAUUCCGUCCUACAUUAUCAUAUGUGUUUGCUUUUCUCUUUUCAACAAAGCUCCUGUUCACAGAGAGCUCAUGUCAUUUCUUUUGUUGAGUCCUGUCACCUUUGCCAAUAGUUUAUCACAGGGAUUUGAUAAAACAAUUUUAAAAUAACUCAGCUGGGUGUGGUGGCUCAUGCCUGUAAUCUCAGCACUUUGGGAGGCCAAGGUGGGUGGAUCGCUGGAGCCCAGGAGUUCAACAGCCUGGGCUGUAGCAGGACGAGCAGAGGACAAAACCUCACAGACACCGAGGAAGUGAAGGAAGUGGCUUUAAUCAACUGGAAGCAACAGCAGACUAAUGUCUCAAAAUCUGAGCUUCUCGAGUGCACAAUUUCUCUCCCUUUUAAGGGCUCACAAUGCUGAAGAUUUUACAUGAAAGGGCAGUGCUUGAUUGAGCAAUCUAGGGGGUAUGUGACAGGGGCUGCAUGCACUGGUAGUCAGAGUGAAACAGAACAGAACGGGAAGUUUCCCAAUGUCCUUCCAUACAAUGUCUGGAAUCUAUGGAUAACAUCAGUUGCUAGGUCAUGGGUUGAAUUUUAACUACCAGGUUAGGUCUGGCAGGCCCAGGUCUGGUUUUGGGUCUGGUUUUGGGUCUGGUGCCUGGUGCUGGGCUGCCUGCCUUUGGUUUUGCUUCCUUGUUUCUUCUUAAAACAGGUACUGAGCAUAAAACAACAUGGGGGUGUCUCUUUCUCUCUUCUCUCAUUUCCCCCCUUUGAGACCCUCACUUAUUUUAUUAGUGGGAGUUCUCACUUUCAUUUUCACUACUUAUGUCUUCCUGUGCAAUAGAUUGAUAGUGAUUCAUAUAAUAUACUUGUGCUGAAGCAUUCUGGUGAACUAGGGUAGCAAUGAAGCUUUUUAUCAUUUGAAGAAGUACAGGUAGCAAACAAGGGAGUAGUAAGCAGGUUCCUAUUACUAUUAUAACUCCUAUUAUAAGAGUUUCAAAUCCUCCUAUUGCUGGGAACCAAGUUCCAAACAUGGCCCCAGGAUCAAAUCCCUGCCACACUUGCACAGGUACAUGUGCCAGUUUUGUUAUAUCUUUAACUAUGUCUUCAGCUAAUUGCCCCUGAUAAUCUAUGUGUAGACAGCAAUUAGUAAGGUUAAAUUUUCCACAAACCCCUCCUUCAGCUGCUAGCAAGUAGUUGAGAGCUAGUCUAUUUUGGUAGAUAGCAUUUCUCAUCUGAGUCUCUUGCCGGACAAGAACAGUCAAGGCUGGACCGGUUUUAUUAGUAAUAAUUUCUGAAACAGCUUGUAACCAUAUGAUUUGGUUGAGCAUGUAGAUGGGGAUCUGAUAUACCUAUGAGCCAUCUUGUGCCCAAGUGGUGGGCCCCUAGUAUUGUAUAUUUCUUUCAGGGGGCCAUUCAUCAUCUUUCCUGUUACCUAUGGCUAGGCUUCGCUUUUCGCAGGAAGCAUAGACAGGGAAUCCUAGGAGUUUGCCUGUUUUUAUGGGCAGUAGGAAGAAAGAUGGUUUAAUACUGCCAAUUACACAACUACCUGUCCACUGAUCAGGUAGCUUAGCAUAGGCUCUAAGUCCACAUAUCCAGUAUAACACAGUAGGGGCUGUCCAGUCCCGGUGCAAUUCUGGAUGGGCCCAAAUGGCCUGUAAUCUUGGAUAUUUACUGAAUGGAUUUUUUUUUCUGUGUGGUUUGAACUCCACCAUGUAACUGUUUUUAUGGUACCAUUAUACAGUUUCUGUCCAAGACAACUAAGCAAUCCUACAGGAUGAGUGAAUUAUUUUCCUUCUCUAGCUAUGCAAUAUUGCCCAGUAACUGAGACUUUUAGAACCCAGAAAUUGUCAGGGUGGUUCUUUUGGGCUGGGAAUUCAUCAGGAACUGGGUCCGUAGGGACUAAUUCUCAGUCUUCCCAUGGCCAUUGAUCUUCUGUUACAGUUCCUCCACAGACAUAACAUGAAGUGACUUUUAAAGACUGUGCUACAUGCUCGGCUAAUUGCAAAAACAAAUUUCUAGUUUUUCCUGGAAUCUCAGGUACUGGCACAUUUAGUUCAUCAUAGAAAGUCUGAAAUACUGGCUCUGGAGAGCAUUUUUGAACCUCCCCUUUUAUUAAGAUAUUUACUCUAGGAUCUAGUCCUUUUCCAUCAAUGCCUAGAGAUACGUGCUCUCCUUUUUCCCACUUUGGGUCUGAGGGAUUUAUAAUUAUUAAUUCUAAAGGGUAGCAGCUUCCAUUUGUGCAGGAGGGGCUGCUUUUUCCUUUUUGGAGCCAAACAAUAUCUUUUUAAUCUUUUUUCCAAGUAGCCCAGAUGAUACAAGACCAGUACUGACACACAUUUGUACAUGAAUAUGAUUCAUGGCAGACAUACUUAUUUCCUGCUGUGUAACUCUUUUCCCAAUCUCUAGAACAGCAUCCUAGUCCUUGCUGAUUACUAUUAAUAGUGGCCCAAGUGUCAAAUUUUAGAGUUUCAUGUUUGGGGACCCCUCUUUCUUCUGUUCUAGCUAUUACUUUACUUGUGUCACCUAGAAAAGGACCAGUGCUUAGUCUUAUUUCAAAAACCGUGAUCAUGGGAGGUUCAGAGGGGUCAUAGCACACAUCUGGCUGAUCACUUCUUGGAUUACAUACUUUGUACUGAGUGUUAUUAUAUAAACAGGUUCCUUUUCGAGUUCCUGGGCACUCAUAAAAACUAUAGAACAAAAAGAUUGUCUUAACUUGUUGUCCUACCUCAGUGAUCUGAUGCAUGCACUGAAAGCAGUCCUCUGUGUGGGAAGAAGCAGUGGAAGCUUUUACCACACAAGUCCGUGUCAUGAGGAAAAUAAGUCCCACGACGAUUUUCCUCAUGCUUCCACCAUGUGUAGAUCAGUCAGCUUCUGGGUGUGACUGAAGCAGGGCUUGUGGUCCUCCUCAUGGUCACUUUACGGGGAUUGUCCAGGCUUGGUUUGGCCUCCCAGGUUUCAGUGGCUGCAGGCUUUAAGCAGCUGUGGUGAAUCCAGGCCGGGAUUCCUUCCACCUUUACAGCUGUGGGAGUGGUCAGGAUAAUGGUCUGGGGUCCUUUCCACUGUGCCCGCAAAGGGGCUACGUUCCAGUCCUGGAUCCACAUACGGUCACCUGGAGAAAAAGGGUGAACUGGGGAGAAUAAGCUGACAGGGUACCUCUCAUUUACCCAAGUUGCGAUUGUCUCAGUAAUUUUCCCCAAGGCCUGUAGCUGUCACUGCAAUUCAAUUUCACCCAACUCUUGGGGAGUACCCGGAAGUCCUCGCAGUAUAGGAGGAGGCCUAUGAUAUAAUAUUUCAUAAGGGGAGUAUCCUGUUUUCUUAAAGGGGUACACCUAAUUUUAAACAAUACCAUAGGAAGGGCCUGUAUCCAUUUUAAUCCUGUCUCUUGACAUACUUUCCCUAAACUAUUUUUGAUAGUCCGAUUCAUUCGCUCCACCUUUCCGGAACUCUGAGGUCGGUAGGCAGCAUGUAACUUCCAUGUGAUUCCCAGUACCUUUGCUGUCUUCUGUACUAAGUCAGCCACAAAUGCCGGCUCAUUAUCUGAGCCGAUCCAUAGAGGCAGUCCAAACCUAGGGAUGAGAUCUCUAAGAAGCACACGGGUUACUUCACCAGCUUUUGCAGUUUGUGUCGGAUAAGCCUCUACCCACCCAGAAUUAAUGUUGCACCAAUUGGCAUACUGAUCUUUCUAUUAUUACCAUGACAUUCAAUUUUGCCAAUGAGUUCCUAGACAAAUGAGUAUUCCCUACUUUAUGUUGGAAGUUCUGACAAAGAAGACAAA
rnacentral:lncRNA from 1 species